rnacentral:rRNA from 1 species
UACGUAGGGUGCAAGCGUUUGUCCGGAAUUAUUGGGCGUAAAGAGCUCGUAGGCGGUUUGUCACGUCGGAUGUGAAACCCUGAGGCUCAACCUCAGGCCUGCAUUCGAUACGGGCAGACUAGAAUUCGGCAGGGGAGACUGGAAUUCCUGGUGUAGCGGUGAAAUGCGCAGAUAUCAGGAGGAACACCGGUGGCGAAGGCGGGUCUCUGGGCAGUAACUGACGCUGAGGAGCGAAAGCGUGGGUAGCAAACAGG